rnacentral:rRNA from 1 species
UUCCAGACUCCUACGGGAGGCAGCAGUGGGGAAUAUUGCACAAUGGGGGAAACCCUGAUGCAGCGACGCCGCGUGAGUGAAGAAGUAUUUCGGUAUGUAAAGCUCUAUCAGCAGGGAAGAAAAUGACGGUACCUGAUUAAGAAGCCCCGGCUAACUACGUGCCAGCAGCCGCGGUAAUACGUAGGGGGCAAGCGUUAUCCGGAUUUACUGGGUGUAAAGGGAGCGUAGACGGUGAUGCAAGUCAGAAGUGAAAGCCCGGGGCUCAACUCCGGGACUGCUUUUGAAACUGUGUGACUGGAGUGCAGGAGAGGUAAGCGGAAUUCCUGGUGUAGCGGUGAAAUGCGUAGAUAUCAGGAGGAACACCAGUGGCGAAGGCGGCUUACUGGACUGUAACUGACGUUGAGGCUCGAAAGCGUGGGGAGCAAACAGGAUUAGAUACCCCGGUACAG